CGAGGGCAGGGGUCGGGUGCCCGCCCCGCCGCAGCGCCGUUCGGUGUGGGGACCGGAGCGCGGGGUCGGGGCCAGUGGGCCUCGAACGAAAGCACGCGCACAGGUAGCGCGGGAGCGUGCUUUGCAGGAGCCGAAGGGACGCCCCGGGGCAUCUGCGAGUGUGGAGCUGUUCGGGAACUCUUUCUGCGACCUCGUUCUUUGCGCCCUGUGCUCGCUUUCCCCCUCACACCUGUCCCGGCGGCCUGGGGACGGGCUGCCGGAUUGCUUCUCCGUGCCGCGAAGCGCCGCGACCGUCCCGCUGCCAGCCGCUCUGCGGGCUGCUCCUGCCGGCUGCGCUCGGUGCGCGCUCCCUGGGUGUCACCUCCGAGCCCCGCCGGAGCUCCGAGCGAUCACAGACCGUGAAAAAGCUUCUAUGAGAGCAAAGUUGGGCGCUUCUCUCAGAGCAUCGCCGACCUCAGCGCAAGCCGAGGUGCUCCACGAGCAGAGUAUUCCCUCUUGCAGAGCGGCCAGCGUUAUGGAAGGAACCGAGGGGAAGCAGGAGGAACCUCCGCACGCUUCCCCCGAAGCCAUACGGGCGCAUCCCAGUGGCAGCGCGGGGCUGAGCUCUUCAGCCCGGUGUGUUUGGAAAUGUAACGUGAUACAACACCUGCCUUGCUCUCGUUCUGCCUUCCUCCGUAGCUGUACCUUGCCGUACUUAAUGGUUUUGCUACCAGCCCUCUCUCCCCAUCCCUGCGUUUUCAGCUCUUCCUCCUGCCAGCAGCUCUGUACCUUUCCGUUUCCUCACACACAGCACACCAGCCCAUCUCUGGCUGCUCCCGACACUUCUCUGCCUUUGGCCACCUCCCUGCUGUCCACGCAGUGCUGGCAUUCAUGCCGUCCCAUCCUACUGCCAUGUCGUGGCCCCCGGUCACCUCUGUUGUCCCAACAUCACCUCAGCCUGCCCUGACUUUCCACCAGCCGUUGUUCGUGCUCUGGAGAUGGAGUCACCUCCGACCUGUCCAGUGCCAGAACCUGCAUGCCUGGCAUCACGGCCACACCUGCUCGCAUUAGACUCCAUCACAUACAGAGUAUAAACACUACCUGUAGGAUCUGGCCAGGGUCUGCGCCAUGGAUUUUGCCAUCGCCAGUUUGUGCUUCUCUCCUGCUGUGGGCAUGGCCUAAGACUUCAGUGCCCACCUGUGUUGCGUAUUGCUUAAUACUCUUUGCCCCGGCACAUCCUUUGGCUGCAUAAUGACAUGGAUAUGCUUUGUUGUCAUCAGUAUUUCCACCCCAGAGGAUCACCCUUCAGUCUGGCAUUAUGGGGAGUUCUCCAAGAAGGGUGUGUGGAAGAACAGGCACUGCACAGCUACACUGGCGCAGCCAUCAGUCAACCAGUCAGUCAACCAUUCAGACGCCUCAGUGUUGCACUCAGAGUUCCUGGCGUCCAAAAUACCCCUCUUCUUUCCCAAAAUUCUGAUAUCUCGGCCUGACAAGCACUUCAUAUACGAAACCUUAACACCAGAGCCUGCCGUUAGGAACGCAUGCACUACAUCCAGUGCUGGAGCGAUACCAGAAGGGUAGAGCUCAGGUGUUUUGGAACCAUCCCACAGGCAGCCCCUGGCGGGCUUCCAGAAUGCUCUUCCUUUAAGCGCGCUCACUGUGCCUCUGGAGAAGACUGCUGAUCCAUCAGUUAAUCGUAUUGAGUAAGUACCUAAAAUUAACUUUUAAAUUAUUAAUGCAUGAGAGCAUAUCCGUUUGCCAUGCACAUUAUUUUAAAGGAUUACAGUGUGUACACUGAGUGCCAUUAGCGUUACGUUCUGAAGACAGCAAAUUGACUUGUAUGGAAAUCUGAAGAGUUGAUGGAUUCCUCCACCAAUGCUUUUGACAACGAUAAAACGUUACGUUCAAUUGAAUUAUUAUUAAGCAUGUGUCUGUAUUUUAAUUUCUUUCUGAUGCAUGCAAACCAAGAGACUGUGAAGCCAUCAUCGUACAAAAUUUUUUCAUUUUGCGGUGGGUUAAAAAUACAGAGAUAUGUGAGCAUUGAAAAUGUUCCUCUGACAAACAACAACACUAGGAAAGAUAUGUUUAGUUUCCUAGACUACAGCUGUGUCGUUCAAGACAAAACUGUGCUGCCAUAAAAUUGUUUAUCAAAAAUAGUACCAUUAAACCUGUUAAAUGUAGAAGUCACAAUACAUCCUUUCCAUGGCCGCAAAGGACACACCUGCGGCAGUUGUCUUCUUUUCACUUAACUUACAGUGUUUUGAAAAAUCCUACAGCAUGCCAUAUUGUGAACAUAAGGACCUGGAAAGCCAACAUCUUCUCUAAUAAUUGUGAUUUUCUGCAAAAAAUAAUGAUGUCAAUAAUGUUCUGUGUAAACAUCAUUUCUACUCAAGGGCAGACAAAAAAAGUAAGCAGAAAUGUUAGUGCGGAUGCUGCGGUGCCUUCCGGGCUUCUGUGCUUGGGAAUUUUCAUAGACUCAUUGAUUAUCCUGAGUUGGAAGGGGCCCAUAGGGAUCACUGAGUCCAACUCCUGGCUCCACACAGCACUACCCAAAUAGCUGAGCAUAUGACUGAAAGCAUUUCCAGAUGCUUCUUGAACUCCGGCAGCUUGGUGCCAUGGCCACUGCCCUGCAGAGCCUGUUCCAGUGGCCGAUCACCUUCUGGAGAAGAACCAUUUCCUAACACCCAACCUGACUCUCCCCUGCUGCAGCUUCCUGACCUUCCCUCAAGUUCUACCACUGGUCACCAGAGAGAGGAGAUCAGCACCAGCUUCACCACCGAGGAGGAGAGAACACAACGAGUGCUGUGACUCAGAAUGAAAUCCAGCCACACUGAAGUCAGUGGCACAGCUCUCCGUGAGUUUAGCACAACCAUGAUUUCAUCUCAAGUCUUUUCUUGGUUCCUGGAGGGGAAAUAAGAAUAAAGACAAAAAAAAGAAAAAAGAAAAAGAAAACAGCAACAAAAAAACAUCACUGCCGUAACUUGUCCUGCAUGCUGAAGCUCUUAGGAGCAUAUUUUCACCAUUCCCAUAGCAGGGUCUUCUAGCUAGUGCCAUCUGAGAACCAGAAAUGUUACAGAAACGUAAACAGGAAGGGAUUACAAAGAGGCAGAUUUUACCAAGCUAAGAGAAGGGACACAGCAAUCCAGCUGUACUGGACCCAGACCAGAUCCUCCCUCGGUUUGUGCACCAAGCUGUGUGCACAUUGCAACACCCUCCGAAUUCAAAUGUGUCCAUCCUGCACACCCCGCAGUGCUGGGUGCCUUUUGCGGAUGUGUACAAUCUGCAGAGCUGAGGCCCAGCCUGGUUUUCCCUGAGUCCUGUAGGCACCACCAGGCUCUGCAGCAGCCAGCUCCCAUCUCACACCAUGCUCCAGUGUAAGCCCAUGCAAAGAUUUGAAAGCAUUUCCAUCACGUGGAUAUAAAUGAGCAAAACUCAGACACCUGACUGUCAAUUCAAGUCACUGCCUUCUGUAGGGACAUCAAACCUUGCACAGUGCCCACUGUCGUGCGCUUCUUGAAUGAGCAGUGAAUGGAUUCAUCUCUCUGUGACAGGUAGGUCGGUGAGCUACUUCUCUUAAGCUGAGUCACAAGGAAAGAGCAGGGUCAGCAUGGCAAGGCACUCCCCUAGGGAACGUCAGUGUCUGCUCACAUCCCUAAUCAAUCUACCAGGCUGCCUACCACACAGCAUCAUAUGCCCCUUUUGUAAAGAACUGGAAGGUACUUCAAUGUACCUUGUUAGAAACGUAUACAAAUAAUGUCUCUUACUCAUAUCUGAUAGAAAACUGAGAGUUACUUAAGGAAUAGAAAUCUUUGUAUUCUUCUCUUUUUAAUUUUCAAGGACGCCUAUAAUUUCAGGGCUGCAACACAUAUUUAAGUCAAGAGGAAUUUCCUAACUGAACUUUCAAAUUCGUGACUUCUUGUAUUUAGCCUGCAGUUCCAAAGGAAGUCACAUUUUGCUUUCCUGGCACAAGAGACUACCAAAAAAAUCCCUGAACUGAAACAAACUGACACUGUAUUAUUAUCAUCUAAAUUAAUCCCUUGUCAUAAAGUUGUAAUCCCUCACAAACUCUCCUUAGCCAAUUAAGUCAAACCUUUCUCACAAGUCACCUGGCAGCAGGAGACUCCCCUGCUCCACCCAUGGCAAGCAGUGGGCAGAUUGCUUACGCAAAGUAUUGAGAACUUACAUUAAAAUGCAAGUUGUUCCUGUAGUGAUUUAACAUCCUAUCUUCUACAAAUCUUGCCUAUUUAUUAGACUAUAUGAGAGGAGUAGGAAUCAUUCUCAAAUGAUCCCCUUUUGUAUAAAAAAAAAUUUAAUCAACCAAACUGAGAGCAUGAAUAUGAAUGACCCUGAGGCUUAGCACAGCCUUCCAGGACAGGAAAGACACACGCUUCAGAUUGUCUGUCCAGAAGCAGGCGCUUUCUGUAUCUUUAUUAUAGAGGAAUACUUGGAGGACAAAUUGUUCCUUGUCAUAUACAUCCUUUGUUAAUAGAUCUCUUGAAACAGAAAGGACUGCCUUGUAGCUGCUAUCCUGACAUAAUGCAGAUCUCCUCUCAAAUUACAAAGGUUGUUCUUUGUCAAAAGAUGUCCUUUCCCUCACUGUCAGAAAUAUGCAAGAAUCUGCAUAUAUUCUUAGCGUGAUUUGUAACAUCCUUGGAAAGGAAAUUUUUUAGGAUUUGCCUACCAAAGAAUAUAAUUAAUCUUAUUAAGGUCAGUUAAACUUAGUGAGGUCAAGUUGCUCUUAAUUUUUUUUUCUUCUGAUGCUUUAUCAGUUGUGAAGUAGAAAAACAAAGACAUGGCACAACACAGUAGCCCAGAUGUUCCUUUUCAGCAGUGCAUUUAGGUCCAAGAAGGAUGACAGGCAGUGAGAUGUCUGAGGGAGCCUCGCCAGAGCUUCUGCAGGACCCACUACUGCGGCUGAGAGGAGAUCCCAGCGUUCCUCAGGAAGUUCUCACAUCUAUACCUGGAAGUUUGGGGCAGGCAAGCUUGUCAACCACAGCCCAUAAUAAACUAUUAAUUCUAUUUUUCUAAAUUUAGUUGCAUAAAGGCGCACUUCUGCCUAAUACCAUAAACCAUUCAGACCUUGAAAAGAUUAGGGAGAGUGAGCUGAACCCUUGUGGAAAAGUGUUUCAUGACAGUUUCACCUACCAGGCAUGGUCACUUCCUUCUCUUUGACCAAGCAUCUUUCAAGGUACACUUUCUCAUGGACAUACACAUAUAUGCCACUGGAUGGCUAUUGGGCAUAAACAGGAUCAGGGCUCCACUGAGAAGGGCUGCUCUGAAGCAGGAAUUUGACUUCUGUGCAAGCACUUGCCCACUACAAAGGCAUUAGUUCUGUUCCAAACAGCCUCUGCUCUAUGAUGACAAAUGACAUUUCUGGUCUUACAUUGAUCGCUUUGUAGGUUCUCCCUCCUCCCCCCUCAAGAUUUGGUGAUCCUCUUACACUGGUUAUUGUUUGGGAAGCAUUUGUACUGACCUUUAUUUCACCCAUGCCUUAGGGAUGAGAUCAUUUAGAAAAUGCCAUAUUAAAAAAAAAAAAAAAAAGACUUCAUUCUGUGAACUACAAUGGAGCGAGGACACAGCAAGGAUAUUUAGAGCAAAUCAAUGAAUCUUACUAAUUACUAUCCUCUAAUUUAGAGGAUUUACUUUUACAGUGGGAGCAGGCUACUGGUGGAGUGUUCCUCGCUCUUUAAGACCUAGAGCUACAUAUGUCAUAUUGUGAAAAUGUGAUACAAAAUUGAUUCUAAAAAAUUGCCUUCAGAUUACUCACCGUGAAGCAAUUGGAAUCAGGCCAGGAGCAGAUGGUAACUCAAAAGGCAAUCCUCUUCCUCCUCUAGAAGUACUAUUACCUUGUACUUCAGUAGUGGCAUUGAUCUAAGAAACCUGCUGCUUUUUGCAAACAGUUACAAAUGACUUUCUUGUACCCUGAUAGCACACUGAGGAGGAUUUCUCUGCCUUAGCUUGUGGAGUGACUGAUGCACAUGGAAGUCAAGUUUACAUCAUUCCCACACCCCCAUUUUACCAAGAGAUCACAUUCUCUAUUUGAAGAAAAUCUCUCAGCAUCUCCAAAAUCUCAGCAUUCUACCACAAGUUUGUCACACAAAGAUCAAGCAUACAAAAUCAAUGGAUGACGAUUAGAGAGAGAAAGCCAUUGCCAAAAGCGGCUUUCUCAAGGAAAGCAGUACACAGCAGAGGCAGGACCCGAAACUGCCCACCACUGUCCCAUGCUGUUGGCACCCCCGUAAGAUGUGCCCAUGUACUCCUGAGACCGCUUGCCCACACAGUGCUCUUCUUAGACGAGUUAAGCAGUUGUUUAAAGCAGGAACUGACAUAUUGAAGGUGAAUACCAGCUAGGCAUUAUAUCCUGCAGCACAGCUGGACACAGGGAACAUGCCGAGGAGGUGAAACUCUCCACCAGCAUGCAUGCAGUAUUCUUCCCUAGUAAAGGCCAAACUCUUUGGUAACAAUUUUUACGGUAGAAAAAGCAGGAAGAUUUUCCUAUUCCUUUUUACAUCAGUAUAAUAACCAAUAGAGUCAUGAUAUUGAAAUGCAAAGAAUUUAGCCCAAAUGUUGGAGGAUGGUAUAAAUAAGUUAAUUUGAGACAAGGAAAAAGCUUGCAUAUUUCUGAGACCCUAUUCUAUAUGAAGUGAAGUCAAAAGCAAAACUCUCGAGCAUGAACAAUAUCGGGCACACAGCAGACAACUCUGUUGUAAAUUAAAAUGCAUAUCUGCAGCAGCAGAUCUUGAGCUAGUAUAUACCAGCAGCAGAGCUAUGAAAACAUUUAUCAGCCAAGAAUUGUCUUCAGGACCAUCAAGCGUCCAUUCUAUAAAAUAUAUCGCAUAAUUUGCAAAGCUCACAAUACCACUUAGAUUAGAAGUGGGGAUUCAGCUCACAAAUACUUUAUUUUGCACUUCUGGUGGCAUGAUUUCUCAGAGAUGUUUCGAAGUUGACUCUUCCGAAAUAGAAAUCCUUAUUUAAUGACCUUCAACAGGUAAGUGAGAAAAAACGAAAAAGAAAGCUGAAUGAAUGUCGAAUCACCUAGGAGGAAAAAAAUGCACAUUUCUGGAGAGGCAUAUCCCUUUUCUUCCUACCACCAUUUCAGAAAGUUAAGUAUGCAAAGAAUAAAUAUACAUUACCUUAAAAAAAAAAAAAGUGCUUUACUUAAUAGAAUUCAGCUUAAUCUGAAUGUAUUUCAAUGGCUGACAUUCGUGUCCUGACAUGCUGCUUUGCCAGAAAGCAGGCUGUAUUAUACACUAGGAUGCAAUGCUGGGCACAGUGAGGCUAAAGUGCAAGUUCAACUUGCACUCAAGUUGAUUUCUUCAUCUCUAAACUCUGCAACACAUACUGUAUACUUAAAAGUCAUUUUUAUUUUAACUGCUUACACACUAAUAUUUUAAUUAUUCUUAAUUUCUAGGAAAAUGAAGGGAAAAAGUUGAGGUCUUUAUAUUUUUUUGUAUACAUAAAACCUUUCCACACAGCGAGGCAAUGAAAUAGAGCAGCUUUCUAUUGCCACAUAUGGACUGACUGAACAUUUAGAAAUGGAAAGAAAUAGAAUAUUCCUCUAGGACAGUAAAACACUACCUAAUUAUGGGCUUGUAGAAAGCAAGCAGUAACUUAUCCUAAAAUUCUAGUACUGAACCCUGUGGUCAUAGCAGGCAGAUAGCCCUGAUUCCUGCAAUUAAAAGAUCCUUUCAUUCAGAUGCAUAGAGCACUGCCUGGGGAACAUGGUCCUCAUCGUAAGAUGAUACAGAUGUCUAGUCCCACGCAUGGCUAUGUAGCUUCAACAUCACAUCAUAUCCCUUCUUGCUCUAUAACCAGGCAUAGAUAGCUCUGGGAAAUACCAGUACCUGCAUUGUACAAUAGGGAAGAGUCUGAAGGGGCACGCAGAAAAGAGAAAAACAUGGAGCAGGCUGCAUCUGAAUGUUCUGCUAAAAACACCUGAUAUGGCCAAUAUGGCACAGACUAUGUAUCUAUGCUAUAGGGAUGGAUUAAAAACAAAGUGUUUUUGUGUCACAACACUCCACAGCAAAGCAAAGAACACACUUUAAGAUGGAGUUGCUGCUGUAGAACAGAACUAAUACAGAUAUUGAGGACACUCGUGCUCCUACAGACAGAGGAUUUUGUUCAUUUAAUAGAGAGCAUUCACUCACUCAGACAGCCUUCCAGCCUAUGUUUUUUGCUGCUUCAGACUUUGCAGAAUUACUCACAUGAAGGACGCAAACCAUCUUCAAAAACUAGUAAAAAUCCAAGUCUCCCUUUCUCCUUAGAAAGAAGACAAAACACUACCCCAACAUCCUAAGCCCCCAUUACUUGUACUACAACACCUUCUAGGAUGUCUGAUCACACACAGAAAGUCAUUGCACUGAUCAGACAGUGGAAGCAUUUCAUCAGCUGGUAGAGCUAUUAGCCCAUCUCCAUCUUAUUAGGUGCACCCCGUAAUUGAGUACACUUGACCUCAAAUGCAAUCAUAACAAGUCAAGCUGUUCUCACUUUCUCUAACAGGAGAGUUUUGCAAUGCAGCUAUGCUGCUGCAAGCUCACAAUGCAAACACUAGAUUUUGUGUAAAUAGAAUCUUGUAUGACAAUGGCAUAGCUAUAUUUGCACAAACUUCCCCUGGUCUAUGAGAGACCUAAGGGCUAGUGAUAAAUGAAUGGGAUGGGACCAUUUGGGUAAUCGGGCCACUAACCCUGUAAUUGCAGGCAGUUGUGUCAGGCAGAAGCACUCAAGGACUUCAAUCAUCCAGGUCAGUCUUAGAAAGUCUCCUGCUUACUGUACAAUCCCUUCCAUCAGCUUAUCAAGCUGAAUGAUAAAGCAGUUGAAGUUACAUCUCUCUAUUCUUCCAAUUUAGAGAGCUAUGUUAGAAUUAAACUCCUCAGGUAGUUUACAACCACCUUUUAAUUUCCAGCCUAAAUAUAUUCACAGCCAAUCUUAUUUCCUUUCUGCCACCAUUUGUCUGUCUGGUCUAUUUGUGAUUCAGUCCUUAUUUAUGACUCACCAGUGUGAAAGAUAAGAUUUGUGGCUUAGCGAGUGGCCUAAUUGCCCAAGCAAUGAUUACAUUAGAAAUGCUCAAAAGGAAACAUGUGAGUGCCCUUUUUAAAGCCCAAUUAAGAAUAUAUGUUUACAUCUAAUCAUCUCUAAAUAAAAAUUUUAAAAUCCAUUUGACCUGGUGUUGCCUCAAUAAAUAUUUAUGCUGUAUUUACUAAUUAAUUACUGCAGCAAUUUUCUCUCUGAUCCUCUUGUUCUGUGUGCAUGAAGAACACCGCAAGGCAAUUGAAUAUAUGAUGAUGCCACCUUUCUCUGUUUCAUUAGCCUCUAGCUGAGGGAGCAACCGGCUCCCUCAAUGUCUGUGCUGGACUCUGGCUCAGAUGAGCUUGGUGGAGCUGACGGUACAUGGGCAGCUUCCAAAACAGCUGGAACAAACGGCCAAGUUAUCUUUGCUCCAUUGGUCAUGGGAGUAUGUUCUGCCUUUGGUUCAUCAGCUCUGCCCCAGAAAGGUCUGGCUGGAAUUUCAGCUGCUCCUAGAUGUUUGGAUAACAAGAGUGGACAACAGCAUUUUUUUUUUUUCCAAAACGUGCUUAGAUCUCAUUUCUGCACUGCACUAAAUGUAAUGGGAUGAAAGGCUUUGCAAGAGCAAAAAUGAAGGCUCAUAGACUGGGGAAAGUUGUUUCAGUAUUAAUUAUUAAUUAUUAUUUUUCUUGCAGGAGAACCUAGAGGCUCUAGCAACAGAUGAGAUCUCUGUUGUCCUCAGCAACAUAAGAAGUUGGAAAAAAUGGCCGGCUCUUGCCCCAGAGAAGAUUACAUUUGGUGGAGCAAUAGGAAACAUUUUCUUGGAAAAUGCUGUAUUAUUUCAUGGCAGUCUAUCAACUCCUGGUUUCAGAUGUUUUAUCCACCACCUAUUUCACGAAUGUUAUUUAGGGCUUGAUCCUCAGCUAGCAUACAUCAAGCACUGGGCUAUGUAAGUCAGCAGAGCCCUGCUGAUUUAUGUUUGCUGCGUCACCUCAGUGAAGCUGAUGAAGUUAUGCCAACUGACAUCAGCUCAGGAUCUGGCCCCCAGGUGCUGUCAAUGCCAUUUAGUGCCACCUCUUUUUCUGCUGCUUCCUUAGCACUGUGAGAUUCUUCUGGCUGACUGUAGGAGCCAAAGAGACAGCUCCGUUUCCUGUACCCAGCCUCCCCUCCAGCUCAUUAACUCCAGUAGGAACUGGGGUGUGGGAGGGGAGAAGAUCCGGCCCCUUAGAGGCGGUUCCAUUUAUAAAUAUUGACUUUAAUGUUAAUUUCAUGUAGUUGCUUGUAAAAGUCUUUUGGGCUGAAGCAGAAGGCAUACUGCAGAUGGCAAGUAUAUUUUUCACAGUUUUUAUGGUGGAUAACAAUAUACUUGACAUUUUGCUCAUUAAAUGUGAGCCCUGGUAUGUGAGUAAACAUGCUAGGCAUCUGCGCUCUAAAAUUACCAGUGUGAAAAGCAACAACUGAAAUGUUUCAGUCAAUAAAUGUACAGCACAGAAGCAACAUUCAGCAACUUUCUGAAUGCUGCGUGCAAGGCGUGGACUCAAUUUGCAACACUACAUGGAACACUCUAGAACCAACAAGGGAGAGGCAGCAUAUUGCUUUUGCAUCUGUACUUUGGAGGGAGAGGACUGAAUCCAAAAAUCUCAGAAGUCAAUGUAAACGUGGUAGACCAUACCCAUCAAUUUCAGUUUCUAAGGCAAUCAACACAUGCAUAGUCAAAUGACAAAACUACAUCAGAAGGAAAGGAAGACAACCCAAAUUAGCUCAAACGGUGAUCUGUGGAGGGUGAUCUAUGAAGGGAAAGCCUGUUUGCCAUUGGGAAGAGCAGCAUAACUGAAUAAGAAUGGGCAGGAGGACAGACAUGCAGUGCAAUGUAAGCAGUAGUGUUGUGAGCAACCAGAAGGAAAUCAAAGAGAAUGGAAGGCACAGAAUUGGUUCUCCUUUCUACUACAGCAAUUUUUCUUUUCCUUGUCUUUGGAUUUUGGCACAUUCUCCUGAAAUGAUAAAGAGAAAAGAUGAAAACUAAAAUGGAUAGUAGGUAGAUGCAGGAUCUUAAAUUAGUAUCUGUUUUUUACUUGAGUUUUAAACAUUCUGGAAAUACUACCUUGAGAUGGCUGCAAUUUUGAGCAGUAGUGAGAUAAAAUAAAACUAGAAGUAAAAAGAAAAAGAAUUAGCGUAAGACAUCUUGUAAUGUGCACUAAUCCAAGCUGUUCCAGAAAACAAUGUCAUGUAGGCAAGGAUAGCAAGUUCAAAUUAUAAAAAAUAAAAGAUAUCUGUUUUU